GAAAGAACAGUAGGCUCACUCUGCGAAAACGCGUACUAAUAAUUGUCUCUCGCGCAUGACCGAAUCGCACAACCAACAACAUGGCGGCUCUAAACAUAUGUUUGCACAAUGUGCAUCAAUAGACUCAAAGAAAAAAGAAGAAGUGGACAUGGUAUUUAGAUAUCUGUUUUUAUUAACUGAAGUUUGUACUUUAUAACUGAACUAGCUGCUAGUUUAGAAUUUAUUUUUCUCCUUCCAUAUUUGAAAAAAACAGAUAAACUUUGAAUUAGUGUAACCAGUUCAACUAUAAAAAAA